rnacentral:rRNA from 1 species
UGAGGAAUCUUCCACAAUGGGCGAAAGCCUGAUGGAGCAACGCCGCGUGCAGGAUGAAGGCCUUAGGGUUGUAAACUGCUUUUAUAAGUGAAGAAUAUGACGGUAACUUAUGAAUAAGCACCGGCUAACUACGUGCCAGCAGCCGCGGUCAUACGUAGGGUGCAAGCAUUAUCCGGAGUGACUGGGCGUAAAGAGUUGCGUAGGUGGUUUGUUAAGUGAAUAGUGAAAUCUGGCGGCUCAACCGUUCAGACUAUUAUUCAAACUGGCAGACUUGAGAAUGGUAGAGGUAACUGGAAUUUCUAGUGUAGGAGUGAAAUCCGUAGAUAUUAGAAGGAACACCAAUGGCGUAGGCAGGUUACUGGACCAUUUCUGACACUAAGGCACGAAAGCGUGGGGAGCGAACCGGAUUAGAUACCCCCGUAGUCC